CAGAGGGUGCAAACGUUGUUCGGAAUUACUGGGCGUAAAGCGCGUGUAGGCGGCUAUGUAAGUCGGGCGUGAAAUCCCAUGGCUUAACCAUGGAAGUGCACCCGAAACUGCGUAGCUAGAGUCCAGAAGAGGAGAGUGGAAUUCCCGGUGUAGCGGUGAAAUGCGCAGAUAUCGGGAAGAACACCUAUGGCGAAAGCAGCUCUCUGGGACGGUACUGACGCUGAGACGCGAAAGCGUGGGGAGCGAACAGGAUUAGAUACCCUGGUAGUCCACGCCGUAAACGAUGGGUGCUAGGUGUGGGUGGUGUCGACUCCAUCCGUGCCGAAGCUAACGCAUUAAGCACCCCGCCUGGGGAGUACGGCCGCAAGGCUA
rnacentral:rRNA from 1 species